GUGGGGAAUUUUGGACAAUGGGCGCAAGCCUGAUCCAGCAAUGCCGCGUGCAGGAAGAAGGCCUUCGGGUUGUAAACUGCUUUUGUACGGAACGAAACGGUCCGGGUUAAUACCCUGGGCUAAUGACGGUACCGUAAGAAUAAGCACCGGCUAACUACGUGCUAGCAGCCGCGGUAAUACGUAGGGUGCAAGCGUUAAUCGGAAUUACUGGGCGUAAAGCGUGCGCAGGCGGUUUUGUAAGACAGGCGUGAAAUCCCCGGGCUCAACCUGGGAAUUGCGCUUGUGACUGCAAGGCUGGAGUGCGGCAGAGGGGGAUGGAAUUCCGCGUGUAGCAGUGAAAUGCGUAGAUAUGCGGAGGAACACCGAUGGCGAAGGCAAUCCCCUGGGCCUGCACUGACGCUCAUGUACGAAAGCGUGGGGAGCAAACAGGAUUAGAUACCCUUGUAGUCC
rnacentral:rRNA from 1 species